rnacentral:rRNA from 1 species
GAUGAACGCUGGCGGCGUGCCUAAUACAUGCAAGUCGAGCGAACAGAUGAGGAUCUUGCUCCUCUGACGUUAGCGGCGGACGGGUGAGUAACACGUGUAUAACCUACCUAUAAGACUGGGAUAACUUCGGGAAACCAGAGCUAAUACCGGAUGAUAUAUUGAACCGCGUGGUUCGAUAGUGAAAGACGGUGUUGCUGGCACUUAUAGAUGGAUCCGCGCCGCAUUAGCUAGUUGGUAAGGUAACGGCUUACCAAGGCAACGAUGCGUAGCUGACCUGAGAGGGUGAUAGGCGACACUGGAACUGAGACGCGGACAAGACUACUAAGGGAGGCAGCAGUAGGGAAUCUUACGCAAUGGGCGAAAGCAUGACGGAGCAACGCGGCGUGAGUGAUGAAGGUCUUCGGAUCGUAAAAAUCUGUUAUUAGGGAAGAACAAAUGUGUAAGUAACUAUGCACGUAUUGACGGUAACUAAUCAGAAAGCAACGGCUAACUACGUG